UACGGAGGGAGCUAGCGUUGUUCGGAAUUACUGGGCGUAAAGCGCACGUAGGCGGCUACUCAAGUCGGGGGUGAAAGCCCGGGGCUCAACCCCGGAACUGCCUUCGAAACUAGGUAGCUAGAAUCUUGGAGAGGCGAGUGGAAUUCCGAGUGUAGAGGUGAAAUUCGUAGAUAUUCGGAAGAACACCAGUGGCGAAGGCGGCUCACUGGCCCGGUACUGACGCUGAGGUGCGAAAGCGUGGGGAGCAAACAGG
rnacentral:rRNA from 1 species